GAGGAAUUCACCAAAUUUCAAGGAAUCAAGCCAUCAAAGGUGGUGAAUCCUUCGAAAAAGGGCAAAGAAAUUACACCUGAGGAUCAAUAGUCGGAGUACUCAAAAAUUCAAACUCUUGAUACAGCUCAGGAUAGUCGGUAGAUAGCUCACUUUGUUGAGG